rnacentral:rRNA from 1 species
GAUGAACGCUGGCGGCGUGCCUAAUACAUGCAAGUCGAGCGAACAGACUCGGAGCUUGUUCCUUUGUCGUUUGCGGCGGACGGGUGUGUAACGCGUGGAUAACCUCCUUCUCAGUCUGGGAUGCCUUCGGGACUGCGGCUCUAAUUCCGGAUAAUCUAUUUCCCUGUGUGGUUCAAUAGUAAAAGUCGGUUUUGCUGUUACUUAUGGAUGGUAUCGCCCCGCUUUGGCUAGUUGGGACGGUAACGGCUUACACAGGCAACGAUGCGUAGCCGACCUGGGGGGCUGAUCGGCCACACUGGAACUGAGACACGGACCAGACGCCUACGGGACGCAGCAGUAUGGAAACGGACGCAAUGGUGGGAAGCCUGACGGAACAGCGCCACGUGAGUGAUGAAGGUCUUCGGAGCGGAAAGCUCGGUUAUGAGGUAAGAACAAAUUUGAAAGUAACUAAACACUACUUGACGGUACCUAAACAGAAAGCCACGGCUAACUACGUG